UCCGAGGCGAAACGAAAGUAACGCAGCCGAUCCGGGGAUUCCCCCUAGGGGUAUCCCCCGGCGCAGGCUCGAGGCCCGCUAACGUCGACUUUGGGGCUUUCGGUCGGUCGCGCUUUCGAGCGUGGCCGGCUCCCCUUAGCCGUCGGGCGGGCACUCUGAGCGCACACGUUAGUACCCGAAAGAUGGUGAUCUAUGCUUGGUGAGGAUGAAGCCAGAGGAAACUCUGGUGGAGGUUCGCAGCGAUUCUGACGUGCAAAUCGAUCGUCGGAGCUGAGUAUAGGGGCGAAAGACCAAUCGAACCAUCU
rnacentral:rRNA from 1 species